UAUCGUUCGAGUCUCUCAUACAGAGACUGUGAGAGAUCCAUUAAACCCCUAAGCAAUAACUCAGAGACUGUGAGUGACGCUCUCAGAGACGCUGAAAGACUCCGAGAGACUGGAGAGAGACUGAAAAUUUUUGUCUAGGGUAUUUAAUUUUAUUGGAAACGAAUGUCCUGAAACAAUUCCUCUAUAUGAUCUACUUUUCUGAAAGUUAAAAAAAUUCGACAUUUUCCAUAUGCAUUCCACUAUAAAUAAUUUCCUUUGCUUCAAAUAAAUUUGUAACUUCGGUAUAAACGACGGUUAGAGAGUUACUUUUACUAUUGUGUAAAACUCGCCCAUGCUACCGGUAAUUGAUCAACACAUACACAUGUACAAAUGCAUAAUAGAGAUGGGCAUAGAAAAUUUGCACAUCUUUGUAGUCCCUUUGAAGUGGAUCCACGUUCGUCUCCACACGAGAAUAAAAUUGUGAAAAUGCGAAAACACUCCGCUCGAAAAUUGACCUUUUUUUGUAAUGGGAGCGCUUUUAAAAUGUACUCGUGUAUAGUCAAAGGUUUGAGGGAGAGAGAGAGAGAGGCUCGGGGCCAUUUGUGUUUUACUUACGCUUGUUUCGUAUUUUAUUCAUGUAAAACUUGGGUUCGCGUCUGAAUAGCAAGCAACCAAAGCAAGCAACGGUUCCGUGAAUUUGAUCUUUAUAUGCACAACAGAAACUAAUGAUCUUCGUUGUGCCAUACAAGCAUUUGCUUUCAGAUUUUCUUCUUGAAAGUCACGUCUCCGUUCGUUUACGACUCGAACUCUAUCCGUAAUUUUUCAAAACAGGAUGCUACAAACCGACGCCUGCGACGUCCAUCAUGCACCUACCCCUCUUAAAUAAUAUGUCAGUUGAAAAAUUAAUAAUAUGUUAUUUCCAUAAUGAUUUUCAUGGCAUUAUUGAACCAAUAAGAUUUUAUUUGUGUUGUUAUUUUGAAGGUGUAACAGAUAAACAUUUAAAAGCGUUUUGUUGCUUUAAAUCUUUAUUUAAAUAAUCAAUGAUAAUUGGACCUUUUGAUAAUGCGCAUGUCGCACUUUUUUAAGGGAUUCUAGUUAAACAAACUCGUCAAUGGUCCAUGGUACGAUUCCAGGAGAGGGUUAAAUGUAUUUUCAUAUUAAUAUUAAUAUUUAACCACUAUUAAAAGUUUCUUAAAGUAUUUCAUAUGAUAUUAAUACAUGUACAUUAGUUCGAUGAAUGUGUGACAUAAAAAGUACGUUUCGUCGUUGUUGUUGCUGUCACCUCUCGUGGCAUAGUGGUUAGAGCAAAGGUGCACAAAGCCAAUGGUCCCGGGUUCGAUUCCCGGCGAGCGUGUGACAGCCGCGACAAUUUUUUCUCGCUAAUUUGAAGUUAUUUGUAGUGGAUAGAACUUAAAAAAAUUAAUUUUCUCAUUAAUAUUAAACAUUCACAACUGAAUUGAAGGCUUUGAGGGGUUUAAGGGAAUUUAAGCAUAAAUACUUAGUCAAAGGUUAUAGUACCUUUGUCGAUAAUAUAUGUAGGCACAACAAGUAAUUUUGUGCUUGCCCGAACACAAGCAAAAUCCUCGUCAAUAAAUAAUUAAACGAAAAGGAUCGACGGGGAAAUAUCAUGUGGGUGUAUAUACGCACUUGUUGCUCAUUAAUUUGAAGUUAGUCUUAGAUAACCACAAGGUUGAGAGGUUCUGUACGUUGAAAUGUGCUUGAAGAAUUGUAUCGUUUUCAGUUAUCCUGCUGCGAUGAAGUUAGUUUAGGAUAACCACAAGGUUGAGAGGUAAGGCGUUGUCUUGUGUUGGAUUGAAUUACAAAAUCACAUGUUUUUUAAGGUUCUGUACGUUGAAAUGUGCUUGAAGAAUUGUAUCGUUUUCAGUUAUCCUGCUGCGAUGAAGUUAGUUUAGGAUAACCACAAGGUUGAGAGGUAAGGCGUUGUCUUGUGUUGGAUUGAAUUACAAAAUCACAUGUUUUUUAAGGUUCUGUACGUUGAAAUGUGCUUGAAGAAUUGUAUCGUUUUCAGUUAUCCUGCUGCGAUGAAGUUAGUUUAGGAUAACCACAAGGUUGAGAGGUAAGGCGUUGUCUUGUGUUGGAUUGAAUUACAAAAUCACAUGUUUUUUAAGGUUCUGUACGUUGAAAUGUGCUUGAAGAAUUGUAUCGUUUUCAGUUAUCCUGCUGCGAUGAAGUUAGUUUAGGAUAACCACAAGGUUGAGAGGUUCUGUACGUUGAAAUGUGCUUGAAGAAUUGUAUCGUUUUCAGUUAUCCUGCUGCGAUGAUACCUAUAACGAGGACGCGUCCCUUUCUGUAUAUCUGUAUCCAGUCUCGUUACCAGUUAGUUUAAGUUGUACGUAACAAUAAAUCGAAAACUUGUUUUUAUUGAUUGCCUCAUAUUCUUCUUCGUUCCAACUGGCUCUUCCAGUUGGCAGCCCUUUGUUCACUGUGCAUUACGUGCUCCUUAGAAAAUGAACUAGGAGAGGGAAGGACAUACGUUAUGAAAGAAUACUUCCUUUCGCAGGGAAAGUUGGCAAAUAUUUGAAAGCCAUUACAGGAAUGCGCCUCGCCGAAGAAUUCGACCAGAGUCACUCCCUACUCUAGAGAAAAUUUAUUAUUUAUUAUCGUCAUUUUGGUCACGUACUUUCGUCGAACACCAAGGUACACGGGUAUUAUAUACAAUAUGAGACAAUUACACGGAAACGGUGUUGAAAAUAUCGAAACUGAAACCGGAAAACUUAUUUAUUAAAGCUACAUUUCUUUUGCAGCGUGUAGAGUAAAAUUUUACUAUCAGAGAAAAGCUGCAUGCGCACAACUAAUACUUAGUAUAAAGUACCAGCAAAA